rnacentral:rRNA from 1 species
ACCUGGCGGCGAGUGGCGAACGGGUGAGUAAUAUAUCGGAACGUACCCAAGAGUGGGGGAUAACGUAGCGAAAGUUACGCUAAUACCGCAUACGAUCUAAGGAUGAAAGCAGGGGACCUUCGGGCCUUGUGCUCCUGGAGCGGCCGAUAUCUGAUUAGCUAGUUGGUGGGGUAAAGGCCCACCAAGGCAUCGAUCAGUAGCUGGUCUGAGAGGACGACCAGCCACACUGGAACUGAGACACGGUCCAGACUCCUACGGGAGGCAGCAGUGGGGAAUUUUGGACAAUGGGCGCAAGCCUGAUCCAGCAAUGCCGCGUGAGUGAAGAAGGCCUUCGGGUUGUAAAGCUCUUUUGUCAGGGAAGAAACGGUGAAGGCUAAUAUCCUUUGCUAAUGACGGUACCUGAAGAAUAAGCACCGGCUAACUACGUGCCAGCAGCCGCGGUAAUACGUAGGGUGCAAGCGUUAAUCGGAAUUACUGGGCGUAAAGCGUGCGCAGGCGGUUUUGUAAGUUUGUCGUGAAAUCCCCGGGCUCAACCUGGGAAUGGCGAUGAAGACUGCAAGGCUAGAGUUUGGCAGAGGGGGGUAGAAUUCCACGUGUAGCA